rnacentral:rRNA from 1 species
GUCCAUGCCGUAAACGAUGUCAACUAGGUGUUGGGAACUUGUUUCCUUAGUGCCGCAGCUAACGCAUUAAGUUGACCGCCUGGGGAGUACGGUCGCAAGACUAAACUCAAAUGAAUUGACGGGGCCCGCACAAGCGGUGGAGCAUGUGGUUUAAUUCGAUGCAACGCGAAGAACCUUACCUACUCUUGACAUCCAGAGAAUCCUGUAGAGAUACGGGAGUGCCUUCGGGAAUUCUGAGACAGGUGCUGCAUGGCUGUCGU